rnacentral:lncRNA from 10 species
GUGAGAUGGAAGCAGGGAAGAUGGAUAAGAGACUCCCACAAUAAUCCAGGCAAGAGAUGAAGGAGUCUUGGUCCAGGAUGGUAACAGUGGAGGGGAAUGAUUAUUUCGGACUCUGAGUCUUGGAUGGUCGUCUCUACAAGCUCCCAAAGGAAAACACCCAUGUGGUUUUUGCCUGCUUGAGGUUUUCUACUGGGGCCUCCUUACGUGCAAG